rnacentral:lncRNA from 1 species
UUUUGGGUAAUUUUGGGGUUCCCAAUUUUGGUUUUUCCCCCCCAAAGUCAAGCAGGUGUUCAAGGACCUGGAGUUCCUGGGUUUUGAGGAGGAUUUUGGGGAUUUUGGGUAAUUUUGGGUA